rnacentral:ncRNA from 2 species
GAAAACUUUGGCGAUGGAGUUCGCCGUAUAACCGCCUCAACACGGGCUGAUAACUCCUACUCGUUA